CCUACGGGAGGCAGCAGUGAGGAAUAUUGGUCAAUGGGCGCGAGCCUGAACCAGCCAAGUAGCGUGAAGGAUGACUGCCCUACGGGUUGUAAACUUCUUUUAUAAAGGAAUAAAGUGAGGCACGUGUGCCUUUUUGUAUGUACUUUAUGAAUAAGGAUCGGCUAACUCCGUGCCAGCAGCCGCGGUAAUACGGAGGAUCCGACCCCCCCCCCCCCUCCCCCCCCCCCAAGGCAGCGUAGAUCGGUUGUUAAGUCAGUUGUGAAAGUUUGCGGCUCAACCGUAAAAUUGCAAUUGAUACUGGCAGUCUUGAGUACAGUUGAGGUAGGCGGAAUUCGUGGUGUAGCGGUGAAAUGCUUAGAUAUCACGAAGAACUCCGAUUGCGAAGGCAGCUUACUAAACUGCCACUGACAUUGAUGCUCGAAAGUGUGGGUAUCAAACAGGAUUAGAUACCCUAGUAGUC
rnacentral:rRNA from 1 species